rnacentral:lncRNA from 1 species
CACUGAUAUCAGUGGUUUAAGUAAACUUGGCGAAGCUUGACAAUGGGACAUUUUAUUUUGGUGUUUUCCGAUAUUAUCUUUCUUGUCAAAUGAUUGUUUUUAAAUGUUUGUUUAACUUUUAAGGUGAGAUAUGGCGCUCCAUUUAUAAUAAAUAUGUACACAAGUCAAUGUAUGGGUGACUUAAGGAUUAUAUGUAAAUAAUAAUACGGCGAUAAGAUUAGCUCGGUGGCUUGGAGAUUAACUCAAGUUGUAUAGUGAUUUUGUCAAAUUUGUCAAUCAAUAUUAAUAUAGCAACCAGGAAUGAUAUUCUAAGCAGUAGGUUCAUGAUAAUUACUGCCAAUUUUAGGACUUAACAUCAUAUAAUGGAACUUCAAGCAUUUUGAUAAGAGGGAAAAGUGAAUAAUCCAGAAG